rnacentral:tRNA from 3 species
CGGCGUGUAGCGCAGCCUGGUAGCGCACUUCGUUCGGGACGAAGGGGUCGGAGGUUCAAAUCCUCUCACGCCGACCA